CUGGAAGGCAGAGGUUGCAGUGAGUCGACAUCAUGCCACUUCACUCCAGCCUGAGUGACAGAGCGAGACUGUGUCUCAAAAAAUGCAAUUUCUGGACUAGAGGAACUACACCGCCUGCUUUCCAUAUCAGACCAUUCAACCCAAUGCGAUUCACUGCCGUAAUCUCCAUGUUAUGAUUUUAAGCCAGGCCUCUCUUCACCUUUCCUAUUCCUUACAUUUAAAGACUCCAAAGCUUGUUUACUGAGCACAGAUCUUGGAAAACAGGAUCUUCAGACUUGGGAAAGCAUGACAGUAGAUGAUGGAAGGGUAAAGACUCAGACUAGCAUCUAGUAGUCUCACUACACAUGGAUAGUAAUGCUAUGUGCAUGAAUGUGCAAUCAUGCAAAAACUCAAAUCAGCCUUCCACACACACACACAAUGGUAGACUAAGACCUUCUGUUAAAGGUCCAAGCACUCCAAGGAAGCCAGCGCCUUGAGGUACCCUCAGUAUGUGCAAGUAGUUCCAUGUUACUCUUAGUUUUCCCAGCAACUCUGCUCUAGCAUGCCCUAGGCUUAGCCAGCAACAGAUCUCACUGAAUUAUAAGAUGUUGCCAGAAGUUCAGAACCUUGGUUUUUUUGAGAUACGCAUUUGCAUUGACCCAAAAUGGAGAAUUAAAUGACUGUAUUUUUCA
rnacentral:antisense_RNA from 1 species